rnacentral:tRNA from 1 species
GCCUUCGUGGUAUAACUGGAAGCAUAGUUGACGAGUAUUCGACAGUUCCAGGGUUCAAAUCCCGGCGAGGGCA